rnacentral:rRNA from 1 species
UACGUAGGAGACGAGCGUUGUCCGGAGUUACUGGGCGUAAAGGGUGCGCAGGUGGCUGUGCGCGUGGGGGGUGAAAUCGCCCGGCUUAACUGGGCGGGGGCCUUCCAGACGGCGUAGCUUGAGCAGCGGAGGGGGACGUGGAAUUCCCGGUGUAGAGGUGAAAUUCGUAGAUAUCGGGAGGAACACCUGUGGCGAAGGCGGCCAUCUGGACAGUCACUGACACUGAGACGCGAAAGCGUGGGUAGCAAACAGG